rnacentral:rRNA from 1 species
CCUACGGGUGGCAGCAGUGAGGAAUAUUGGUCAAUGGACGAGAGUCUGAACCAGCCAAGUAGCGUGAAGGAUGACUGCCCUAUGGGUUGUAAACUUCUUUUAUAUGGGAAUAAAAUGUUCCACGUGUGGGAUUUUGUAUGUACCAUAUGAAUAAGGAUCGGCUAACUCCGUGCCAGCAGCCGCGGUAAUACGGAGGAUCCGAGCGUUAUCCGGAUUUAUUGGGUUUAAAGGGUGCGUAGGUGGAUUGUUAAGUCAGUUGUGAAAGUUUGCGGCUCAACCGUAAAAUUGCAGUUGAAACUGGCAGUCUCGAGUACAGUCGAGGUGGGCGGAAUUAGUGGUGUAGCGGUGAAAUGCUUAGAUAUAACGUAGAACUCCGAUAGCGAAGGCAGCUUACUGGACUGCAACUGACACUGAGGCUCGAGAGUGUGGGUAUCAAACAGGAUUAGAUACCCUUGUAGUC